rnacentral:tRNA from 1 species
GGCCGUGUAGCUCAAUGAUUAGAGCCGUCCGCUCAUAACGGAUUGGUUGCAGGUUUGAUUCCUGUCGCGGCUACCA